GACGAACGCUGGCGGCGUGCUUAACACAUGCAAGUCGAACGAAGUGGCGAACGGGUGAGUAACGCGUAAUCAACCUGCCCUUCAGCGGGGGACAACAGUUGGAAACGACUGCUAAUACCGCAUACUGAAGGAGGGGAUUGCGUCUGAUUCGCGAGGUGGAGGGGUACCGGCCCACAAAGGCGCUGAUCAGUAGCGCGUCUGAGAGGAUGAACGGCCACAUGGGGACGUGUACACGGCCCAGACUCCUCCGGGAGGAAGCAGUGGGGACUCUUCCGGAAUGGACGAAAGUCUGACGGAGCAACGCCGCGUGAGUGAUGACGGCCUUCGGGUUGUAAAGCUCUGUUAAUCGGGACGCGGUACCGGAAUAGAAAGCCACGGCUAACUACGUGCCAGCAGCCGCGGUAAUAC
rnacentral:rRNA from 1 species